rnacentral:misc_RNA from 1 species
GAUGAAGAACGUAGCGAAAUGCGAUAAGUAAUGCGAAUUGCAGAAUUCCGUGAGGCAUCGAAUCUUUGAACGCACAUUGCGCCCUCUGGUAUUCCGGAGGGCAUGCCUGUCUGAGCGUCAUUGUCAACCCUCAAGCUCAGCUUGCUGUUGGGUCCCCGUCGUUGCUUUAACGGCGGACCCGAAAGGUAAUGGCAGAGUCCGUGAGACCCUAGACGCAGCGAGCUUCUAGCACGCGUCUGGACGUUUUGCGGGCUCGGUCUUAAACUAGAUGAUAACUUCCGAUUGACCUCAGAUCAGGUAGGGAUACCCGCUGAACUUAAGCAUAUCAAUAAGCGGAGGA